GCGAGUUGAAACUUUGAAACAUCAUGCAAUUAUUCCAAUUUAUGCCAUAAUUAGACAAAUCGCAAGUUAUUAAAGUACCGGAAAAAAGUGAAAUGUCAUAACACACAGAGUAAGGCACAGUGUGCAGAAGUCCAACGAGAAAUAUUUGAAAUAGUUCUAAUUUUAAUCAAAAUGGUUCUAAUUGCAGCAGUCCUUGUUGGUGUUAUUUCCAUAGGGGCAUUAGUUUCUGCAGUCGUAUCUGGUACAGAACAAAUCAAAAAAUCGGUAGAGGAAGAAAAUAGACGUUCUCAGCCAAAUUCUAGACGAGGGUCGGAGUCGAAUUCCAUGAGUCUCGGAUCAUUGCUGUUACGGAAAUAUACGGAUGUAUAUUGAAGAGACGCGAGUCGCAUCAGCCGGUUAAUGUUUUGAAAAACUGAGCUAGAUACUUCAAAUGUGAACUUCAGUACAUGCUCAUAUUUCCAAUGUAGUUGUAUCUGACUCACUGUUCGGGUGUAAAUUGAAUAUAUAUACGUGAAAUUGGAAGACACAAAAGGAUCUCAAUCUGAUCAAUAUACACCAAUCAAAUUGUUACGCUUUACGGUUCUGAAAAACAAUUUGCCAAAUUGGCUGUAAUUAUAAACGUCUACUUCUAAAUCAGUCGAUAUAUUUAUCAUAUCAUUGAAUAGGCAUUUUUCGGAGAAUACGUUUAAUGAAACAUCUGGCAAAACAGCUUACGACUUUUUACCAAACAAACUUUUUACUUUUACGUCUUGAAUUCGAAUUCGUACAGGUUUAAGAUUUGAAAAGGACGCCGUUUUUCGCUUUAGGGCUAAUUUGUUUCGGUUGAUAGAGUCGCCAACUUGCGUUUGUCGGGAAACUUGAAACAUUUGUACUUUGAAACUUUUUUGCCAGGUAUUUGGAAAAUUUCAAACAACAUUUGAAACAUUUCUGAAACUCUAAAACACCGUUUUAGCUUUCAAAACAUUUACCGGCUGUUGGCAAAUAUAUUCGAGAUACAUAACCGAACUAUAUUGCAUCUCAACGGUGACUUAUCGUCAUAUCGUGAAAAUAACUUUCAACAGAACCAAAUAAACUGGUAAACCCUGCUUCAAGCUAUCAUCAAACUAUAUGGACCUUCACCUUAUAUCAUUCCUGUUAACGUUCACAAUGUAAACUGGUUUAACUGGUUAUCGUAUGCAACUGAAAUGGCUUGGGAACAGAAUUUUGGUUUGAAAUCAUUACCGAAAAUAACCAGUUUGUCUCGUUAUCGUAUGUACAAGAAUUUGUUCUAAGACGGCAAACAAAAUUUUGGGGCUAUGGAAUUGGGUUGUCGUUGAAACUUAUCGGGACUUGAAAUUCAAGUAGAUCUCCAUAAUGAAGCAUUGUUUUGUAUGCAAAAGUUCACGUGAAAAGACACUUCGGAAAAUUCCCAACAUGCGUUGGGAAAACACGGGGUCAGGAAGUCAUGACAACGUCAUCCUUCCAGCUGUGGAUAAUUAUAUAAACAUAUUAUAUAAUAGUAUAUAUAAAUAUUAAAUUGUAUAAUUUUUACAAAUUAUAGUGUUCUCUGACUUUGUAAAUGAAGAAUAGAUAUUUUUAUUCCGGGGGGAGGGAGAGAUUUGUAAAUAGAUUUAUAUAUAACAAUGAAAUUGGUCGUAAAAAAAAAUUAAAUAUAUUAUUUUUCGUAUGUGAAUUGUCUUGAGUAUUAUUAAACUGCUAUGGUAUGUGUGAUCAAUGAACAGUGGCGCCGCCAGCUUGAUGAUUGGGGGGGGGGGGAGGGGGGCGAAUAUUCAUAUCUUCGUGUUCUGCAUUUAUAUAGCCAUAUUAUUAACUUCUUUUGAAAUCGAUUGUUUUUAUGGUCUGUGAACCCAAAUAUAUGAAUAUUCGCCCCCCCCCCAAGAUUGUCGGCCAAUCACAUUUUACAACAUUUUCUUUUCUGCG